GAUGAACGCUGGCGGCGUGCCUAAUACAUGCAAGUCGAGCGAACAGAUGAGGAGCUUGCUCCUCUGACAUUAGCGGCGAACGGGUGAGUAACACGUGGAUAACCGACCUAUAAGACUGGGAUAACUUCGGGAAACCGGAGCUAAUACCGGAUAAUAUAUUGAACCGCAUGGUUCAAUAGUGAAAGACGGUUUUGCUGUCACUUAUAGAUGGAUCCGCGCCGCAUUAGCUAGUUGGUAAGGUAACGGCUUACCAAGGCAACGAUGCGUAGCCGGCCUGAGAGGGUGAUCAGCCACACUGGAACUGAGACACGGUCCAGACUCCUACGGGAGGCAGCAGUAGGGAAUCUUCCACAAUGGGCGAAAGCCUGACGGAGCAACGCCGCGUGAGUGAUGAAGGUCUUCGGAUCGUAAAACUCUGUUAUUAGGGAAGAAAAAAUGUUUAAGUAACUAUGCACGUCUUGACGGUACCUAAUCAGAAAGCCACGGCUAACUACGUG
rnacentral:rRNA from 1 species